AAACCAUGAUGAGGAUACUCUAAAAGAAGAUCUUUGAAACGUUCCAUUCAUCGAGAGAAUGAUUCAUUGGGUCUUUGGAGAAACUAGAGAAUGUCAUUCCUAAGUUU
rfam:Cephalotus follicularis DNA, scaffold: scaffold3212, isolate: St1.